rnacentral:rRNA from 1 species
AUGUGGCCCAUUGACGCACAAUACAUUCUUUCAAUCCCAACUUCGCAACAUAAUAUGACAGACUUUAUUGCCUGGAGCUCUACGAAAAAUGGUAUGUUCUCGGUACGAUCUGCUUACUAUGUGGAGUGGAAUUAUCAGUAUGGAAGUAAGCUAAAACAUUCCAAUGGGAUGGGGCGAACCACACCUAACCCUAUAAGGUGUCAGAUAUGGAAGUUAUCUUGUCCGACAAAAGUCUUUUUCUUAUGGCGGACACUACAUGGCACUCUUCCAUGUCGGGCCACCCUCACCAAUAGACAUAUGAAGGUCUCGCCUCUUUGCCUUACCUGUUCUCAGGGUGUAUAAGAUACGAAACACUUGCUUUUCCUAUGUGCAAAAGCAAAGGAAGUAUGGAAAAGGUUAGGGAUGGAUGCGAUUAUUGAUAAAGCUUGUGAGAUUGAUCGUGCUGGAGAGGCGACAUUGGAAUACCUUUUACUCCUUCCAGAUCAAGAUAUGCAUAUUAUGGGGUACCAAAAUGUACGAUAAAUGAUAGCUAUCUCAGCGUGGUAUCUUUGGUGGGAAAGACGGAAAUUAGUGCACAAGGAAUUAACUCAGAAUGCAAAUCAGAUAUUAAUGGGGAUCAUAGCUCUUACAUAUAAUUUUUUAAAUGUGUCAUCUUCAAAGGCGUCCAUGAAAAGGGGGGUUGGCACUGUCCUCCUAGGGGCUUCGCGAAACUAA